rnacentral:misc_RNA from 1 species
CAGAGUUGCAAAACUCCCUAAACCAUUGUGAACCUACCCCUAAACAGUUGCUUCGGCGGCGCCCGGACAGGCCCGCCGGAGACCACUAAACUCUUGUUUUUUUAACACUGGCCUCUCUGAGUUUACUGUACUGUAAUAAGUCA